rnacentral:lncRNA from 1 species
CUGCAAUAUCUUCUAAAUUUAAUUCACCAUUUUCAUGGAAAUCAUUUAUUGCCUUAUCAGGUUUAUUUUUCAAAAAGAACUUUGAAAUGUUCAUUAAAAACAUUUAAAGAAGGAUGCCUCCGAAGAGGGAAGUGCUGUGAAGAGAUAAAUGAACUAAGAUUGCGUACUAUCCGAUAUAUCACAUUUCCUCAUAAAAAAAACGAAUUAGGCAAUGCAAAUUAUUUGACUUUCAGUCCGAGGGCAAUAGUUGUGCCCCGAUGCCAAUCCCAUCUUACUUUAUCAAACACCUUCUCAAAGUCAGCAAUAAAUAAAAAAUGGAGACAUCUGUUUGAUACCCAUAAUGUCACUUCCAUUCUGCAAAGGUCAGGGGUUCGAUGAAUAAAGCAAAAUGUCAUCGGGAGAGUUGGCUUAGUACAUCCAAUCAUCCAUCCCAAUCUUCUUUACUUGUUAUAUAAAACAUUCCCUUAUAAACAAAUAAGGGAAUGCGAAUUAUUGCAGUAGUAAGGUGGGUGUGGCGGAGACACAAAGGUUUCACUUUCAGUUUCUGACGCAGCAAUUAAACGGCGCACCCUCACUCAUUAGGAAAUUCUUGGCAAAACAAACAGAAGGCUGCACAUCACGGACACUUAGACGCAAGACUCAGCUCAAGGAUCAAAUAAAGACGCCACUGGAAAAAGGAUAUUGUAUCGAAUCCUAAAAGUGUGGUAUCGCCCAUCCCUACUGGCACUCACUGGGAGCAUGAUCAGCUUACUGGAUACAGAUACAACCUCUGACAGAUUGAAGACACCAAAGAAGAGAAUGCCAGCAAAGUUGCCUUUGGACUUUAAGAAAUGGACUGUGAACAAAAUUGUGCAGUACCUUGAACAAGAAGAACUUGGACGAUGGGCAGAUAAAUUCAAAGAAAAACACAUCACUGGUGACCAACUACAAACUCUAACAGCUGCCAAUCUGGAGGAUAUGGGCAUAAAGUAAGUGUCUCCCCUUGUUAAACCACCUGAUUGUACAACCAUCUGAUUUCUUUUAGUUUUCACACCUCACUUUUCUCUUUUCAACUGAUUCCCUAUUAUACUCUUCUGUAUUU